rnacentral:rRNA from 1 species
GGGUCAGUAGGUUGGUCGUGCCACCGGUACGUACUGGUCUCACUGAUUCCUCCUUCCUGAAGAACCGUAAUGCCACUAAUUUGGUGUUGCGGGGAAACAGGACUGUUACUUUGGAAAAAUUAGAGUGUUUAAAGCAAGCUAACGCUUGAAUACAUUAGCAUGGAAUAAUGAAAUAGGACGAUCGAUCCUAUUUUGUUGGUUUCUGGGAUUGACGUA